AGAGUUUGAUCCUGGCUCAGGAUGAACGCUGGCGGCGUGCUUAACACAUGCAAGUCGAACGAAGCACCUUGAUUUGAUUCUUCGGAUGAAGAUCUUGGUGACUGAGUGGCGGACGGGUGAGUAACGCGUGGGUAACCUGCCUCAUACAGGGGGAUAACAGUUAGAAAUGACUGCUAAUACCGCAUAAGACCACAGCACCGCAUGGUGCAGGGGUAAAAACUCCGGUGGUAUGAGAUGGACCCGCGUCUGAUUAGGUAGUUGGUGGGGUAACGGCCUACCAAGCCGACGAUCAGUAGCCGACCUGAGAGGGUGACCGGCCACAUUGGGACUGAGACACGGCCCAAACUCCUACGGGAGGCAGCAGUGGGGAAUAUUGCACAAUGGGGGAAACCCUGAUGCAGCGACGCCGCGUGAGCGAUGAAGUAUUUCGGUAUGUAAAGCUCUAUCAGCAGGGAAGAAAAUGACGGUACCUGACUAAGAAGCCCCGGCUAACUACGUGCCAGCAGCCGCGGUAAUACGUAGGGGGCAAGCGUUAUCCGGAUUUACUGGGUGUAAAGGGAGCGUAGACGGCAUGGCAAGCCAGAUGUGAAAGCCCGGGGCUCAACCCCGGGACUGCAUUUGGAACUGUCAGGCUAGAGUGUCGGAGAGGAAAGCGGAAUUCCUAGUGUAGCGGUGAAAUGCGUAGAUAUUAGGAGGAACACCAGUGGCGAAGGCGGCUUUCUGGACGAUGACUGACGUUGAGGCUCGAAAGCGUGGGGAGCAAACAGGAUUAGAUACCCUGGUAGUCCACGCC
rnacentral:rRNA from 1 species